rnacentral:RNase_P_RNA from 1 species
UGAGCAGGCUGAGUGACUGCGGUGAAAAUACGAGGAAAGUCCGAGCUUCACAGAGCGGGAUGCCGGAUAACGUCCGGUGGAGGCGACUCCAAGGAAAGUGCAACAGAAAGAAACCGCCGGGCUUUUGCCCGGUAAGGGUGGAAAGGCGAGGUAAGAGCUCACCGCUUCCCACGGCGACGCGGGAAGCCUGUAAACCCCAUCCGAAGCAAGAUUGACAGCGGAGCAUAACGGCUGCUCGUCGGCUCCCAUGUAAUCGCUUGAGCCUGCCGGUAACGGCAGGAAUAGAUAAAUAGUCACUCUCGACAGAACUCGGCUUACAGGUCUGCUCAAAUG